CAGUCUUGGACCAAAUCAGGAGAAAUAAUCCUGAAGCUUUCAUGUUGUUGCUUUUCUCUCAGAUAUACAGACUUGUUUUAGCAGGCAGGGAUGUUUUUAUUCUUUAUUUACAAGAUGAAAUUGACUUUGGUCUAAAAAUGUGUUGUUUUAACAGAACAGCCUUCUGUGCACCAACUACACGUAACAGCCUGUAAAUAACAGCUCAGCUGCAGUCUGACACAGUGGAGGCUCUUCAGGCUCUCUGCUCCACUCUGGUGUUCAGUCCUGAAGGUUGGAGCGCAGGGACAGUUCAGGCUCCAGCAGUCAGCUGACAUUUGAUUGAAAUCAGGGCAACAAACUGUUCUACCAGGAGGAGGCGCUGCAGGACGUGUCAGGAAAACACAGGCUGGAGGUGAAGCUGCAUGUGCUUCAGUGCAGAUUUGUGCCACCUACAACAUCCCAACACCUGCUGAUGUCCCCACUCUCAGUGUGAAAGUCCACACAGAGGUGGAGCCCACAGGUGACUCUGCCAGAGCCAGACUGACUGUGGAAAUACAUCCCUGUAAGUAUGUGACAGGUUAGAGGAGAGCUCUGUACCAGCGUGGAGUCACUGUGGGUGGAUGAAGAGCAUGUGUGCACACACUGUUCAAACACAGCUACAGUGGGAAGGAGAAAACUACAAACAUGGUGGACCUGGAUGUUCCCCAGAGUGUGAGUAAUUAGACAGACUCUACCAACACGUGUGUGUCAUGUGAUCACUGUGAUGAUGUCAUCUCCUCACAGCUC